AGCGUUAUCCGGAUUUAUUGGGCGUAAAGCGAGCGCAGGCGGUUUUUUAAGUCUGAUGUGAAAGCCCUCGGCUUAACCGAGGAAGCGCAUCGGAAACUGGGAAACUUGAGUGCAGAAGAGGACAGUGGAACUCCAUGUGUAGCGGUGAAAUGCGUAGAUAUAUGGAAGAACACCAGUGGCGAAGGCGGCUGUCUGGUCUGUAACUGACGCUGAGGCUCGAAAGCAUGGGUAGCGAACAGGAUUAGAUACCCUGGUAGUCCAUGCCGUAAACGAUGAAUGCUAGGUGUUGGAGGGUUUCCGCCCUUCAGUGCCGCAGCUAACGCAUUAAGCAUUCCGCCUGGGGAGUACGACCGCAAGGUUGAAACUCAAAGGAAUUGACGGGGGCCCGCACAAGCGGUGGAGCAUGUGGUUUAAUUCGAAGCAACGCGAAGAACCUUACCAGGUCUUGACAUCUUUUGAUCACCUGAGAGAUCAGGUUUCCCCUUCGGGGGCAAAAUGACAGGUGGUGCAUGGUUGUCGUCAGCUCGUGUCGUGAGAUGUUGGGUUAAGUCCCGCAACGAGCGCAACCCUUAUGACUAGUUGCCAGCAUUUAGUUGGGCACUCUAGUAAGACUGCCGGUGACAAACCGGAGGAAGGUGGGGAUGACGUCAAAUCAUCAUGCCCCUUAUGACCUGGGCUACACACGUGCUACAAUGGAUGGUACAACGAGUUGCGAGACCGCGAGGUCAAGCUAAUCUCUUAAAGCCAUUCUCAGUUCGGACUGUAGGCUGCAACUCGCCUACACGAAGUCGGAAUCGCUAGUAAUCGCGGAUCAGCACGCCGCGGUGAAUACGUUCCCGGGCCUUGUACACACCGCCCGUCACACCAUGAGAGUUUGUAACACCCGAAGCCGGUGGCGUAACCCUUUUAGGGAGCGAGCCGUCUAAGGUGGGACAAAUGAUUAGGGUGAAGUC
rnacentral:rRNA from 2 species